UGGCAAAUAAAAUUUCUGUGUGGCCACGC
rnacentral:piRNA from 1 species